rnacentral:lncRNA from 1 species
CUGGACUUCAGACACAUGCUGCGGACGCACCCAUAGCCUGAUUCGCAGUAGGUGAGCGCAGCUGCUAGAGCCAGAGGCUUUUCUUGAGCAACAGCAGUCAAUUAUAUCAACUUAACGUGUGGUUUUGUAACAAACCCAAUGUGUUAUGCUGUUGGCUGAAGUUUCUUAUGUUUUGUCAUCUCUCAGGAAAUUGCUAAAAAAAGUACUGUUGGUCCGUUACUUUGUUUAAUGUGCUGAGUACACCUUUCUUUCCUUUAGUGCAAGAAGGGUAUUUUUUCUUGCAGGGAAACAAAAGUAAAAACACUAAGAAAGAAAAAACAUUUUUCCCUCAAGAAGAGAAAGUAACAGUUUGUGUCUCUUUAUGGAGUGAACCUGACUGACUGGUCCUGGAGGAAAGCUUGUGGAGUGAGACUUUAAGGGGAGAUUUCCUUGAAAUUUUAUGUAAUGAUGCCUUUUGAGCAACUAUUGCAGUGUGUUCCACCUGAGGAUCUGCUCUCUUGAAUGUCCUCUAAAUUGUUCCAAAUGUCUAGUCCAUAAACCAGCAUGUUAAAAUAAAUUUCCUUAACUCAAAAUUAAUUGAUUUACUUCCAUUUUUUUUGCUAAAAAUUUGAUAACCUGGAAGAGAGAUGGCUGAGGGGAGAUGUGGUAGAUAAACUUCUCACUGGAGUGAAGGUGGUGAAUCAGCAACAGUUGUUUGCUGUUUUUCAGGGCAAGAUUGCAGCAGUCAAAUGACACUAAAAGAUGGAAGAUGCAAAACAUGCAGAAGAAGGUGUUCUUUUACACAGUACCCGGGCCAGCUGUAGAAUGCUUUGCCCGGCAGUCUUUUGGAUAUCAGAAAAUGUACAUGGGUUCAAAAGCAACUGGACAAAUUCUUGGAGGAAAAAUACACUGGUUACUCCAGUAUAAAAAGAUGUAGCCCCAUGCAGUGGCUUUAUAAACUUCUGAGCCAUAAGUGAAUGGAGGCUGAAAGAAUAUGUGGAGAAAAUGUUGGAAUGUACUUGCCUUGUUUCUGUUCUUUCUCCUCUUCCCAAGCAUCUACUUUUGGGUACUCUGGGACAACAUCCUGGGCUGGAUGGGCCCUAUAUGUGGGAUCUAAUGUGCCUCUUCUCUCAUACAGGUAGCUUUUCCAAGACAGUUAUUGAAAGGGAAGUGAAAUGCCACUGCAUUUGUGCAUCUAUGACUUUUGGUCUUAUCUACCUGAGACUGGCAAGGAAAAGUUGGCAGCCCGAAUCUCGUGCAAAAGUAGCACAGUUAUCUGAAGACCUUUUCUGAUUUUGCACAUGCUGGAAGCUUUUAUCUGGCAAUAAUGUUGUACCUGCUACUCAUGUACAUACGGCUUCGUACUCACUUGAAACAUAGAUAAACCUGAGUUCCGUUGGUACCAGCAGGAUGGAGCAGGCGAUCAGACUUUAUUUAACCACUGAGUUGGUUGUCCUUGUGUGGUGGUUCUUGGACAAAACAUCCUAAAGAACUUUGCAAAGGAAAGAUAGUGCAGCCAAGUCCAGGAGGUGGGUCUGAAACUCUAUUUUAAAUGAUGUUACUGAUAUGACAACUGUAACUUGAGUUGUGAAGACUUUGACUUGGGAGGAAUUGACUUAAAGUAUAUGAUUUACAGCUAGGGUUCACAGAAGAGCUUCUGUAAGGAGUCUGGUAGAGAUGGGAA